CGGGUUCUGGAGAGAUGAAGGUAUCAUGGUUGAAGCGUGCACUGGCCCUCGCCCUCCUCUACACUGCUAAAGAGGGUUUGGUCUGAACAGUCAAGCGAUGCUCCACAAGCUAAAUUAUACGACUGACAUGCCGAAUGGCAUACCCGAAGCCUGUCAUCACCAUCGUUGUCACACUUUUGGAUGGAGAUCCAGCACGCUAAUCGUUUAGCAACUGUGUCACAGUAGCUGCUGCCAAAGAUAUUAAAUAGCUUCCGGGCAC
rnacentral:misc_RNA from 1 species